UCAUGAACUAUGAAAUCCAGAACAACUUCCUCUCCUUUCUCAACAUCACCAUUAAUUUCAUCUACAAAGACAAAAAAAAUAAUAUCAUUAAUAAGUCAAAUAAAUCAAACAACACACCAAUAACAAACUAAAAAUUAUGGAAAAAGAAAUGUAAAUUACCAAUAUUUUCAAAACCAUUUAUCCAAUUUUGGGUUAAAAUUAGUGCUUGAACAUUGGAAGGAAGAAGGCUAGCGCGAUACUUGUUUAGCACACGAGCACCAAUGCUAAAUGCCGAUUCACUAGCAACAAUUGUUAUAGGAAUGCUUAACACCUCACAUGCCAAUCUACAAAGAUUUGGAUAACGUUCUUGGCGGUCUUUUUAAUAACUCAAAAUAUCCAACUUAAGAAAAAACUUUGGCUCAAGCGGUGUCUCAGCCAAAUAGAGAUCUAAUUCAGACUUCACAUUGACAUUAACAUUUUGACUCACAUAAUUGAUAUAUUCCUAUGACAAUAUAAGAGAAAAAUUAAAUUAAAUAAAUUGAAUCAUAAAACAAUUAAAUAAUUAAACAAAAGAAAAGACUAAGAUUAUAUGGAUUAUUAACAAAUUAACAAUUGCUAAUUCAAUUGGACUUUGUUAUUGUUUGGACUUACUCUAUUACUGAAUGUGAAUUGUCAAUUGGAUUGCUAGCUACAAAAUAAAAAUUUAAUUUCUUAACAAUUAUAAAUUUAUAAUAAUAAUAAAAUAAAAUAAUAUAUUAUUUAAAUUUAGUGGGUUGACAGGCUGGUCCACCAAUCCACUGGUUGAGUCCACCUAACCCACGGAUUAAGUGGACCGGGCUGAAAAAUUAUCGAUAUCAAUUUUUUUUAAAAAAAAUUGAGUCUGGCCCACCUCUUGUAGCCCGCAGUGGGCCGGGCUCACCCACCGAUCGGAGCUCAUUGACAGCUCUAAGUAACUGUGAAUAAUUUUACCACUUUUGAAAUGGCAGACAGAAUUUAAACUACCUAACAGUGAGGAAAUCGUGCAUAGUAAGCUUUGUUCACUCCAAAAUAAUAGCAAUAUUAACGUAUCAAAUUCUUAACUUACCGCACAUGAUUCACGGCUUGUUUGUUUCAAUAGAACAAAAUCGAACUAGAAGAGAAUGCUCUUGUACAUGUCAAGUUUCAUCCACCCAAAAUGCGUAGGGAACAUACCGGGUCUGUAUAAAGACUAGAAUGAGUAACCAAAGAAACCAACAAAUAUUCUGUGUAUAGAUGAUACUGAUACAUUCCGCGUUGACACACAAACACUUC
rnacentral:lncRNA from 1 species